CAAAUACAGCCAUUAUUUUACGACCACUGAGGACCUAAGAGCCAAAAUUCUUGGUGCAACCAUUGAGAUUUCCAGGAUCAUUCUGCAGAUCAGCAAUGUGUGUUUGGCUGCAGUUG
rnacentral:pre_miRNA from 1 species